GUGAGGCUUUCGGACUGGCCCAGAGAGGUGGGCAACUACCACUCAGGGCCGGAAAGUUAUCCAAACUCGGUCAUUUAGAGGAAGUAAAAGUCGUAACAAGGUCUCCGUUGGUGAACCAGCGGAGGGAUCAUUA
rnacentral:rRNA from 1 species